rnacentral:snRNA from 1 species
AGCUUUGCGCAGUGGCAGUAUCGUAGCCAAUAUGGUUUACCCGAGGCGUGAUUAUUGCUAAUUGAAAACUUUUCCCAAUACACUUCCAUGACGACUUGAAAUAUAGUUGGCAUUGGCAAUUUUUGACAGUCUCUACAGAGA